AAGAGGGAACUCAAUUGCGUAAUUGCCCUCAGAAGAUUGGCCUCCGCUCAGACCUGUGGGGGCGUUUUCCUGAUUAAUGAUUGAUGUCAGAGGGUCCAGCCAACUAUGGGCAGUCCCACCCCUAGGUAGGUGACUUUGCAUUGUAUGAAAAAGCAAGCUGUGCAAGUCAUGGAAAGCUAGCCAGUAAGUAGCAUUCCUUGGUGUUUUCUGCUCCUGGUUCCUGCUUCCUUAACACUUUCCUGGCUUCUCUGCAUGAUGAACUGCCACUUGAGCGCGUUCUCUGCUCAGCCACUCUGCCAAUUCUGGCUGAGUAGGAGGCUGUUAAAUGGCAUAUGAGAGGCAGGAAAGAGGCAGCCGUCUUUCUACAUCCUGACAUUCAUGAAACAACUCCUUCACGAAGCAACUCUUAGUCACGAGUUUCUACUUUUGAGGUGGUGAAAGCUUCAGCUUAGCCAACUUUGUGAUCCUUCUACAUCCCUCCGAGUACACGUAAGUUUCAGCAACAUGUGUGCUGGGAUUCUGAGAGGAGACAUCUGGCUAUCAACUGUGGAUUGUAAAGUCCACAGGGACACCAGCAUAACCCCUGGACCUCAUCAGGAGUUCACAGGGAUGUCAGCAUCACUCCUGGACCUCAGCUGGAGUUCACAGGGAUACCCAGCAUCAUUCCUGGACCUCAGGGUCUGUUAGGUCCAAGAGCGCCCUCCAAAAUGACAGUGCCACUAAGAAUGCCCGAAAUGACAGUCUAGGCUCAGUUCAGCCUGAUCCUUCUGACCAGGUAAAUGGAAGGCUCGCUUGCAGAUAAAUAAAACCCUAAAAUUAGCAUUCUCCAAAAAUCUUGUGAAGCCAGUUAAUGUUUGUCAGGAAAAGUCAUUACUUCCCUUAUCUGUCCCUAUAGCUGCGGGGCAUCUGAGCGGCCACAGAUCAAAGUCCCCAUGCUAGCUCCCUGGCUGUUCUGGCCUGUGGCCUCCUCCCACCACUCGAGUUCCCAGGCUAUUCAGACUUCCACAUCUUCCUCCCCACAACAUACAUCCUUAAAACUGGCUAGCACCGCCCCUGCCCUUUUGAGUUCUCCAACUAACCUUUUUAUCUACCCAUGGAAAGAUCCAGUUCUGUUGCUUCACUGCAUGCCCCUCCCUACCCUUCCAUGCUUAUCACAUGUACCAUUGUUGAGUUCUUAUCUGACAAGACCCCACCAUGCUCCCUGAGGGUAAUAGCAAUAGUCUUCAUUGGUGCAGUGAUAAUAAGGAUGGUGGUGGUGAUGAUGAUUGUGUGUGUGUUUUGAACACAGAAAUAAAGAAGAAAAGCAAUGGCAAAAACAUACAUUUAUUAAAAGUUAAAGUGAAAGCAAAAUAGCCUGCCUCCCAGAGGGAUAGCAGAGAUCAAAAGCCCCCUCCCCCAUUUCCAGUCCGGAAGUAUUUAAUUACAAAAAGGAAGAGGGGAGUUGUUCCUUGAAGAGCUGGGCCUUCUCUCGGUGAACGGAUUACAGUGCAUUGUGUCUUCUGCGCAUGUGCUACACUUGCUCUUCUCUAGCAAUCCUAACCCUGAGAUGCCGUCUAUAUGCAUCAGCUCUGAAGUGUUGUGUGAUGUCCCCAGGUUCACUCUGGGGCAAAGAAAUCUCCUACUGAGUUUUGCUUCCUGAAUGUGGACGGAUUUUUCCUGUUUGUUUGGGGGAGUUUGUAAGAUCUGAAGGGUGUACGGGGGCAGUUGGAGGGGUGGACUUCGUCAGUUGCCAGCUCCUUCCUGUGACUCACAGCCAAGCUCAUCCGACCUUACCUACCUGCCUGUCAUGUCUCACAGCUCUGACCAUUACCACAGAACUCCUGUCAGGUACGAAAUAAAUACUACGUUUUCACCCUGCAGUGUGUGGAAAUCCUAGACGCUCUUGCAUGAGGUCCUGCGCCGGGAGAGAUGUCACUCAACUAGAGCUUUAGAGUUGGCUCGUGUUUCUUUAGUCUCCCCACCUGUCCCCAAUUCCUGUACCACCAAGGGCAUUGGGCUUGUGUUGGUUUGGUUUGUCUCUUUGGGGACCAAUCACUGAAAACCAAAGAAUGGCCUUUUUUUGCCUUGGGCCCAAUAUCUGUACUUAACGUUUUUCCUCUCCCCCAGAAGAUCUCUCCCCUGGGGUGUGUGGACAGAAGGGUUGCUCUUUCUUGUACUUUCUACAUGUUUUGUCAGUAUUAUGAACUACUUGUACUUUUCUAAGCAAAAUAGAUGUUUGAUUAGGUUGGAAAGUACUAAAAUA